rnacentral:rRNA from 1 species
UACGAAGGGGGCUAGCGUUGUUCGGAGUUACUGGGCGUAAAGGGCGCGUAGGCGGCGCACCAAGUCAGGCGUGAAAGCCUUGGGCUCAACCCGGGAAUUGCGCUUGGAGACUGGUGUGCUCGAGUACGGGAGAGGAUAGUGGAAUUCCCGAGUGUAGAGGUGAAAUUCGUAGAUAUUGGGAAGAACACCGGUGGCGAAGGCG